rnacentral:tRNA from 1 species
AGCAAUCUAGCUUAAUGAUAAAGCACUCAGCCAAGGUCUUUGAGGGAUGUGGGUUCAAGUCCCAUGGCAGUUG